CAGCUAGUUGGUAAGGUAACGGCUUACCAAGGCUACGAUGUUUAGGGGAUCUGAGAGGAUGACCCCCCACACUGGUACUGAGACACGGACCAGACUCCUACGGGAGGCAGCAGUAAGGAAUAUUGGUCAAUGGGCGCAAGCCUGAACCAGCCAUGCCGCGUGCAGGAAGACGGCCCUACGGGUUGUAAACUGCUUUUAUACUGGAAUAAACCUUUCUACGAGUAGAGAGCUGAAUGUACAGUAAGAAUAAGGAUCGGCUAACUCCGUGCCAGCAGCCGCGGUAAUACGGAGGAUCCAAGCGUUAUCCGGAUUUAUUGGGUUUAAAGGGUGCGUAGGCGGCCUAUUAAGUCAGGGGUGAAAGACGGUAGCUUAACUAUCGCAGUGCCUUUGAUACUGAUGGGCUUGAAUGUACUUGAGGUAGGCGGAAUGUGACAAGUAGCGGUGAAAUGCAUAGAUAUGUCACAGAACACCAAUUGCGAAGGCAGCUUACUAAAGUAUGAUUGACGCUGAGGCACGAAAGCGUGGGGAUCAAACAGGAUUAGAUACCCUGGUAGUCCACGC
rnacentral:rRNA from 1 species